rnacentral:rRNA from 1 species
ACGCUCGACACCGAGGCAGCAGUGGGGAAUAUUGCACAAUGGGGGAAACCCUGAUGCAGCGACGCCGCGUGAGUGAAGAAGUAAUUCGUUAUGUAAAGCUCUAUCAGCAGGGAAGAAAGUGACGGUACCUGAGUAAGAAGCCCCGGCUAACUACGUGCCAGCAGCCGCGGUAAUCUGAGGCGGGCUGGCAAGGC